UCUGUGCUAAAGUUUAGUGUACAGGAUUUUUAUUAAUGAGUGCCUAUGGAUCCAUACUUGUUGAAGGAAGGCAAUAAAGCAGAUGUGGUGUGGACUAAGGAAGAAGUUAAUCUCUGAUGCAGGCCCAGCAACAAACUAGUUUGACUCUUUGGGAGUUCUAGUGCUAGAAUGGACCUUUGGAGUCUUCCUGAGAUCUUGUAGGAUUCCUCAAGCUGAGCAACAAGUGAGUUCUUGGAACUACCUGCAAAUCCAUUCCUCAGCAUCGAGACAGAAUUCCCUGCUGACAUGAUAAUGGAAAGAGAGGAAAAAAGGGGUUUCUGAGGCAGAGCAGCAUAAAGAGACACAAGGAGACAUGAAAUUAUAUGGCUUGCUCACACAACGCUGGUAGUGAAGUAUGGCUGAAACCUCAAAGGCUGCAGAUGGAGUGUUAAUAUGUUUUCAAUGACGCAUUUGCAAGUUUUGACUUAUUCUAUAGUCAAAGAAUUUUCUUUCUACCAAUAAGAAUUUCAUGGACUAUUACAUCCCAGUGCUGUGGUUUUGUUUCCCUUCAUUAAUAGCUCCUUAAUCAUCUAGCUUGCUUCCCUGGCUGAGAGAGAACUUUGGCAUCCAAAGGGGCUUCUUCCAGGACUCCUGAGAUAAAUGGUGGUUUGGGCUGACUGCCAGCAAAUCGAAGCCUGCGCAAGUUUAUCUAAUUUGUUGAUUUUGAACUUUCAAGAGAAAUGAGAACACCUUGAAAGGAGAAUCACUGCUCGUAACUUUUAGUCAUUCUAAUGGCCUUUAUCUACUCACUGAAACUCAAUUAUGCAUACAAAGAGAGUUUGAGAUAGUUUAACCACUCUUCCUCAGAGUAUUGGCAAUCUGCGGUGACACGGAGGGCUGUCAGCGAGCUGCAGUGUGCCUCCACGUACUGAUCCUGAGCAUCCUCCAACCUGCCUGCAAGGCAACAUUUUACAUCAUUGUGGAGACCCACUUUAGAAGUUCCUUGAGACUAGAGUCUUUAUGCAAUUAAAAGACAUCCUGACUUUGAGGACAUUAUGCUUGAUCCAGAUAAUUUAAAAGUAAUGAUGAGUUCUGAGCUUGGAGCCUGUUCAUAUCCAUGUCUAAGAGCUGUGGAUCAGUAGGAAAGAUUGGGACCAUUAGAAAUCACUAAAAACUAGGAAGGAGGAAACAGCCAUCUGAAAAUGUAUUGGCCAUCAUAUUGUUUUGAGAUGAUGAAAGCAACCACAGAGUAGUAGAAUAUCCUGGACGUCUCUAACAGUUCAUCAGAAUCGGUUAAGUCCAAUGAAACGCUUGGAAAGAUAUCUGAGAAGAGGAAAACAAAAUGCCAAUCUUAGCUACCAAGUAGUUGGUUUAACCUCAGUUGUUUUGACUGAAAUAUCUA